rnacentral:rRNA from 1 species
GACGAACGCUGGCGGCGUGCUUAACACAUGCAAGUCGAACGAAGAGGCCUAGCUUUUUCGGUGCAUUUGUUGGCAGCGGGUGAGUAAUACGCGAGUAACUUACCUUUAUCUCUGGGAUAAACCCGUUAGACUGGGUGUAGUACCGGAUACGAACUAUCUUCACCUGGGGUGUUGGUGGGAAGCGUUAUGUAGUGGUGAUAGAUAGAGUCGCGGCCUAUCAGCUUGUUGGUGAGGUAACGGCUCACGAAGGCGACGACGGGUAGCCGUCCUGGGAGGGUGAGCGGGGACACUGGGCCUGCGGGACGGCCCAGACUCCUACGGGCGGCAGCAGUGGGGAAUAUUGCACAAUGGGCGCAAGCCUGAUGCAGAGACGCCGCGUGCGGGAUGACGGCCUUCGGGUUGUAAACCUCUGUGAGCAGAGAAGAAGAGAGAUUGACGGUACCUGCAGAGAAAGCGCCGGCUAACUACGUG